rnacentral:rRNA from 1 species
GGGGAAUAUUGCACAAUGGGCGCAAGCCUGAUGCAGCGACGCCGCGUGCGGGAUGACGGCCUUCGGGUUGUAAACCGCUUUUGACUGGGAGCAAGCCCUUCGGGGUGAGUGUACCUUUCGAAUAAGCACCGGCUAACUACGUGCCAGCAGCCGCGGUAAUACGUAGGGUGCAAGCGUUAUCCGGAAUUAUUGGGCGUAAAGGGCUCGUAGGCGGUUCGUCGCGUCCGGUGUGAAAGUCCAUCGCUUAACGGUGGAUCCGCGCCGGGUACGGGCGGGCUUGAGUGCGGUAGGGGAGACUGGAAUUCCCGGUGUAACGGUGGAAUGUGUAGAUAUCGGGAAGAACACCAAUGGCGAAGGCAGGUCUCUGGGCCGUCACUGACGCUGAGGAGCGAAAGCGUGGGGAGCGAACAGGAUUAGAUACCCUGGUAGUCCACGCCGUAAACGGUGGAUGCUGGAUGUGGGGACCAUUCCACGGUCUCCGUGUCGGAGCCAACGCGUUAAGCAUCCCGCCUGGGGAGUACGGCCGCAAGGCUAAAACUCAAAGAAAUUGACGGGGGCCCGCACAAGCGGCGGAGCAUGCGGAUUAAUUCGAUGCAACGUGAAGAACCUUACCUGGGCUUGACAUGUUCCCGACAGCCGUAGAGAUACGGUCUCCCUUCGGGGCGGGUUCACAGGUGGUGCAUGGUCGUCGUCAGCUCGUGUCGUGAGAUGUUGGGUUAAGUCCCGCAACGAGCGCAACCCUCGCCCUGUGUUGCCAGCACGUCGUGGUGGGAACUCACGGGGGACCGCCGGGGUCAACUCGGAGGAAGGUGGGGAUGACGUCAGAUCAUCAUGCCCCUUACGUCCAGGGCUUCACGCAUGCUACAAUGGCCGGUACAACGGGAUGCGACCUCGUGAGGGGGAGCGGAUCCCUUAAAACCGGCCUCAGUUCGGAUUGGAGUCUGCAACCCGACUCCAUGAAGGCGGAGUCGCUAGUAAUCGCGGAUCAGCAACGCCGCGGUGAAUGCGUUCCCG